CUGCUGCCUUCCGUAGGAGUCUGGGCCGUGUCUCAGUCCCAAUGUGGCCGUUCACCCUCUCAGGCCGGCUACUGAUCGUUGCCUUGGUGGGCUUUUACCUCACCAACUAGCUAAUCAGACGCGGAACCAUCGUAUACCACCGGAGUUUUUCACACUGCUUCAUGCGAAGCUGUGCGCUUAUGCGGUAUUAGCACCUAUUUCUAAGUGUUAUCCCCCAGUAUACGGCAGGUUUUCCACGCGUUACUCACCCCGUCCG
rnacentral:rRNA from 1 species